UCAAUCGCUGUGCACACAUCUAACGUGUUAUUUUUUAGCGUGUUUGUUUAUUGCUCAGUAUGCUUUCAAAAAAAGAAAAAAAAUACCGCAGGGUGCAAAAUAAAUUCAAAUCGUUAAAAAAAAACCUUUUGUGAGGAAAUUUCUGGCCUGAGCUGAUACCAGAUUCGGGGCACUUGGAGCAUGAUGCGGCCUCCAUCAAAGCGAUCAGCCUCCACCAAGCAACGCAUUCGACCUGACUUAAGAAGGUAUCCGGGACCUCGUCCGGGACUGGAAAUGGAAACCGACAAUACUAACUGAAUUUGCUCUCGCAGCCCCUCCCAGCAACAAAUAUCGCGGAAAGCUGGUUUCGUUUGGAAGGAUGUUCCUGUUACAUUUUAUGCCGGAUUUGCUGCUGCAUACCAGCUAGACUGAAUGAUUUCCGGAUCGGCGGAUAGGCGCUUCUUCAACAUCAGAGGACAAAUAAAAGUGG